CUAGCAGUAUCAGAGUUUGAUCCUGGCUCAGAACGAACGCUGGCGGCAUGCCUAAUACAUGCAAGUCGAACGAUCACUUCGGUGAUAGUGGCGCACGGGUGCGUAACGCGUGGGAAUCUGCCCUUGGGUUCGGAAUAACUUCUGGAAACGGAAGCUAAUACCGGAUGAUGACGUAAGUCCAAAGAUUUAUCGCCCAAGGAUGAGCCCGCGUAGGAUUAGCUAGUUGGUGGGGUAAAGGCCCACCAAGGCGACGAUCCUUAGCUGGUCUGAGAGGAUGAUCAGCCACACUGGGACUGAGACACGGCCCAG
rnacentral:rRNA from 1 species